UAUCUAUGAUGUGGACAUUGAACCAUCAAUAAUUUAAAACACUCCCAAGCCUCAUGGAAUGGCUCACCUUCUAUCUAAGUAAAGGUGGCAAUCUUACCUCGCAGUUC